rnacentral:tRNA from 1 species
CGGUGUAGCUCAGUUGGUAGAGCACCUGACUUGUAAUCAGGGGGUCGCGAGUUCGAAUCCUGCCGCCGGC